CGUAGUAUCUUGACGUGAAUACAUAGCGUCUUGAAGGCAGACCCAGGGAACUGAAACAUCUAAGUACCUGGAGGAAGAGAAAGAAAAAUCGAUUCCCUGAGUAGCGGCGAGCGAAACGGGAAGAGCCCAAACCAAGAGGCUUGCCUCUUGGGGUUGUAGGACACUCAAUACGGAGUUACAAAAGAGCGAGUUAGAUGAAGCGACUUGGAAAGGUCCGCCAGAGCAGGUAAAAGCCCUGUAGUCGAAAGUUCGUUCCCUCCUGAGUGGAUCCUGAGUACGGCGGAACACGUGAAAUUCCGUCGGAAUCCGGGAGGACCAUCUCCCAAGGCUAAAUACUACCUAGUGACCGAUAGUGAACCAGUACCGUGAGGGAAAGGUGAAAAGCACCCCGGAAGGGGAGUGAAAGAGAUCCUGAAACCGUGUGCCUACAAGUAGUUAGAGCCCGUUAAUGGGUGAUAGCGUGCCUUUUGUAGAAUGAACCGGCGAGUUACGAUUACGUGCGAGGUUAAGCUUUAGAAGGCGGAGCCGCAGCGAAAGCGAGUCUGAAUAGGGCGAAAUAGUACGUGGUCGUAGACCCGAAACCAGGUGAUCUACCCAUGUCCAGGGUGAAGGUAAGGUAACACUUACUGGAGGCCCGAACCCACGCACGUUGAAAAGUGCGGGGAUGAGGUGUGGGUAGCGGAGAAAUUCCAAUCGAACUUGGAGAUAGCUGGUUCUCUCCGAAAUAGCUUUAGGGCUAGCCUCGUGAUGAGAAUACUGGAGGUAGAGCACUGUUUGGACUAGGGGGCCAUCCCGGUUUACCGAAUUCAGACAAACUCCGAAUGCCAGAUAUUUAUACACGGGAGUCAGACUGCGAGUGAUAAGAUCCGUAGUCAAAAGGGAAACAGCCCAGACCACCAGCUAAGGUCCCAAAGUAAUCGUUAAGUGGAAAAGGAUGUGGCGUUGCACAGACAACCAGGAUGUUGGCUUAGAAGCAGCCAUCAUUUAAAGAGUGCGUAAUAGCUCACUGGUCGAGUGACGCUGCGCCGAAAAUGUAUCGGGGCUAAACGAUUCACCGAAGCUGUGGAUUGACAUCUACGAUGUCAGUGGUAGGAGAGCGUUCUAAGUGCGUUGAAGUCAGACCGGAAGGACUGGUGGAGCGCUUAGAAGUGAGAAUGCCGGUAUGAGUAGCGAAAGACGGGUGAGAAUCCCGUCCACCGUAUGACUAAGGUUUCCUGAGGAAGGCUCGUCCGCUCAGGGUUAGUCGGGACCUAAGCCGAGGCCGAUAGGCGUAGGCGAUGGACAACAGGUUGAUAUUCCUGUACCACCUCCUCACCGUUUGAGAAAUGGGGGGACGCAGUAGGAUAGGGUAAGCGCGCUGUUGGUUAUGCGCGUCCAAGCAGUAAGGC
rnacentral:rRNA from 2 species